rnacentral:siRNA from 1 species
UGGAGUUUUGUUGAUGUCGAA